ensembl:snRNA U6 U6 spliceosomal RNA
AUGCUCGCUUCAGCAGCACACAUAUACUAAAAUUGGAACAAUACAGAAAAGAUUAGCAUGGCCCCUGUGCAAGGAUGACAUGCAAAUUCAUGAAGCGUUCCAUAUUUGG